GGCGUUUUUGGUUGUUCGGUUAUGCUUUGUUCAGUUAUUUAUCAUAAACCAUGUAUUUAAACUAUAAGCAUUGGCGUAAGAAACGAAGAAGCUUUCCACUGGUUGUAAGUUUUUUAGGACCAAUGAGAAAUUAAAUUGGUAUGAAAUUUUACCAAGAAAGGAAAUGAAAUGAAUCAGAAACGUAAACAUAAAAGCAUUUAUCCAAGAAACUAAAAAGAUAACCAACAAGUAGAAAGUUCCUUAGGACCAAUGAAAAAUUAAACAGGCAUGUCAUUUUGUGAGGAAAUGAUAUGAAAUGAAUCAGAAAUGUCAAUAUAAGAGCAUAUAUCCAAGAAAAAGCUUUCUACCAAGAUUUAAGUUCUUUAAGACAAAUGAGAAAAUAAACUGCCAUGUUAUUUGAAGAGGACAGAAAAUGUAAUGAAUUAGAAACAUAGGUAUAAAAGGUAUUAGGAUCACUUUUUCGGAAACCACUCAUCGAGUCUUACUUUCUUCAGUCACUUGAACCAAUUGAUUGUAUCAAUCUGCUACCACACCAAAAUAAUUGAGAGAUCUAGGGUUGAAACAUCAAUAAUGUUCAAUUCAUUUGUAUAUAGUCAUAAGCACGAGUUGCUGCGCCAGUUGUGCACUUUCAUAAGUAAUGUUAUGUAUUUAGUAUGUAAUUUAUUCCUUCAGCAUAUAUCCACUUGUGUACUUGUUCAAUUGUCUCAACUAAGGUUUAUAACUUGCUGCUCUUUGAACAUUGGAGUUGAUGAAUUGACAAUUAGACAAUUGAACAAGUAUUUUAAUGCUGAAAAGAUUUAUUUAUCUCUUAUGUGUCUGUUGAAUUUAUGAUAUUUUCUAUUUACCUUAACAAGGAUUUAGGGGGUCCUUUUUAAUGUACUUUUGGUUUAACAUACGACACUCAUUUUUUCCUUGUAAGUAGUAAUUUUACUUCAUUUAUCCUAUUUGCUGUGUCUAUUAGUGACUUCGAAAUUUCCAUUUUUCGAUUUUGGUUUGGAAACGUCAGUGCUGGACUGUUUAAUCGAUCGUCUCUUGAGUCGUUACUUCUUAUGUUCAAAGAAUAAUAAUGUAUGUCCUAUUAUUCUAGCGUAGUUUAAGUUCUUGCUUAACGGUAGGAAUCCAUUUCAAUGAUUCCCGACUACUAAACAAAGUGUAAUUGCUUUUGCUUUUCCUGCUAUAGUAUAUUUGUUGUCUCCUCCGGUCCAAAUAUAUUUGUUGACAAGUCGUGA